CUUUAAAUUGCAAAACACAAGCUUCACCUUCCCUUGAAACUCCAAGCUACUCCCUCAGAUCUGGACUACUUCUUGAGAGGACUGGAUGAAUGCUGCCUGACCCUUGGCAUCUUGGCUCUUUCCACAGUUUGGCGACUGUG